GACGAACGCUGGCGGCGUGCUUAACACAUGCAAGUCGAACGGAAAGGCCCUGCUUUUGUGGGGUGCUCGAGUUGCGAACGGGUGAGUAACACGUGAGUAACCUGCCCUUGACUUUGGGAUAACUUCAGGAAACUGGGGCUAAUACCGGAUAGGAGCUCCUGCUGCAUGGUGGGGGUUGGAAAGUUUCGGCGGUUGGGGAUGGACUCGCGGCUUAUCAGCUUGUUGGUGGGGUAGUGGCUUACCAAGGCUUUGACGGGUAGCCGGCCUGAGAGGGUGACCGGACACAUUGGGAAUGAGAUACGGCCCAGACUCCUACGGGAGGAAGGAGUGGGGAAGAGUGCACAAUGGGCGGAAGCAUGAUGUAGCAAAGCAGCGUGGGGGAUGACGGCAUUCGGGUUGUAAACCGAUUUCGCCUGUGACGAAGCGUGAGUGACGGUAAUGGGUAAAGAAGCACCGGCUAACUACGUG
rnacentral:rRNA from 1 species